UACGUAGGCAGCAAGCGUUGUUCGGAAUUACUGGGCGUAAAGAGUGUGUAGGCGGUGCUCCAAGUCUGGUGUGAAAUCUCCCGGCUUAACUGGGAGGGUGCAUUAGAAACUAGAAUGCUAGAGGGUGGGAGAGGUAAGCGGAAUUCCUGGUGUAGCGGUGAAAUGCGUAGAUAUCAAGAGGAACACCUGAGGUGAAGACGGGUUGCUGGGCCGACACUGACGCUGACAGCGCGAAAGCCAGGGGAGCAAACGGG
rnacentral:rRNA from 1 species